ensembl:lincRNA
CCAGCAGCAGCUGCUGGCCGAGGCCCAGGAUGUGCGGCAGCGGCUUCAGGGGUGCACCGAGCGGGCCGCGGGGCAGGCGCUGCUAGCGCAGGCUCGGAACUCAGCCACCAGGAGCCGUGCCAAGGACCGGGAUGACUUCAAGAGGACUCUGGUGGAGACCGCAGCGGAGAGCGUCUACGUGACCUUCGCCGGCGUAGCCCGCCUGGUGCAGACGUAUUCCCAGCGCGUGGGGAGGGUGGCGCAGGAUCAGGAGGAGCGGACACUAGAGCAGCUGAAGACGCUUCAGGGUGAGCGGAUGGACAACUACAAGCUGAAGAAAAAGCAGGAAGUCAGCGAGUCCUCCCUGGGGAGCCAGGCAGCAGGCAGUGCCCCCCAGGGGGUCCCCCAGAGGGUGCUGUGCCGGCAGCGGAGGCUCCGGGCCCAGCUCACCGCCCACCAGCGGCUCCGCCUGGAUGUGCAGAGGCAGAAGGCCCGGACCCUGGAACGGCUGGAGGCCCAGCUGGAGGCGCAGCUGCAGGAAGCCGAGCAGACCUUUGUCACCGAGCUGGCAGCACUGGCCCGAGUGCCCCUUGUGGACAACAAGCCAUUCUCCAGUGAGCGCGGGCAGCCAGAGAAAUCGCUGCAGACCAAGAGGAAGAAGCCCCCACCCCAGGACAGAGGGGACCCGGGGUCGCCCACCGAUGACAACCCCGCCCCCAUGGACCCUGUGUCAGGAUCGCCCAGCAAAUGGCAGAGUCAACAGCAAAGCGACGCAGGCGACGGGGGCAGCGCUGGGAAGGUGUUGAAGAAAAGAAGCAACCUGUAGCUGGGGACCAGGCGCAGGCGACGGCGUCACCUCGGCACCGGGGCUCCCUUCGGGCCUCGAGAACAGGCACGGAGCUCCGGCACCAACCAGCAGCCCCAGGGAGAAGGGACCGAGGUCACCGGCUUCACCCCUCAGCCGCACAUGCGCCACAGCCUGGGGGCACAGCUGGCAGUGUGGACACAGCGACGGGACUCCUUCUUUGGGGUGUGAAGGCGCUGGUGCAAGAUGGGGUCCCUCACGCCAGACCCCAAAGGAGUGCAGCCUCAGGUCGUGAGGGGUGUGGGGCACAGACACCCGCAGAGGUGAGGACGGCUCCCUGGCGACACCUCGGGCACUGAGGGACUCUGCUUUCAAACGGCUUGCGGGACCCUGGCCCCUUGGGUCUGCCUGGGAUCUGUCCCAACAUGCGUCCCUGCUCGCUCCUGAAUGAAGCAGGCAUUUUAAAACUCAUGUUACUGUAUGUUGGCGAUACAUGAAUACAUGACUUUCUCUUUUACUUUUUUGGUAUCGGGGAUCAAACUUGGGGCCUUGCGCUUGCAAGGCAGGCGGCAGCACCACUGAGCUAAACCCCCGGCCCUACGUGACUGCUUUUUUUUUGGUACUGGGGAUUGAACUCAGGCCCUUGUGCUUGCGAGGCAGGCGGUGGAAUGACUACUUUGAAUGUGGGAAUUCCAGACCCGCACAGGACACGGCUUGUUUUUCCACCCUUCCCUGCUGCCCUUCCCCUCCCUCCAUCUCCCGGUCCUCUUCCCAUUUGCGGUAGAUCUGCCUCCCUGUUGCCUCUUAUCGAGCUUGUAUUGGGCUCCUUAUCCAUACUGUGGCUUUCUCACGUGAGAGGAGCACAUGGAAUGUAAGCAUGUGUGUCUCAUUUACUCCACUUAACAUUCUGGUCUCCAGGCGCUCCCACGUACCCACAGGUGGCUCAGGCGUGUCCUUCACGGCAGAGUAGUACUCCACCAUGUGUAAACAUCACUCUAUCCAGUCACCCGCUGAUGGACACAGAGGCCGUUUCCAAGAUGUAACUGUUAUGAAUCGUGCCGCUACGAACAUGGGUGUGCAUGGGUCACUGCAACAUGACGCCUCCAACUCCUACGGGAAAACACUUACACUCCCACCCACAGUGCGGCCUCUCCAGCAUUUGCUUCUAUUUGAUUUCUUGGUGAGGGCCAUUUUUUCUGCGACGAGAUGAAAUCCUAGUGUUGUUUUAACCUGCGUUUCUCUAGGGGCCAGUGCUGUUGGGCAUGCUUCGUGUAUUGGGUGCGUGUUUGUCCUUCUUCUGGGAACUGUCUCUUCCUUCCGGUUGCCUGUUUUUGAGUCUCUGCGUUUGGGGAUCUGAUGUUUUGUGUUCUUCGUAUAUUCUAGAUAUUUAGUCCUCCAUCUGCGGAGCAGCUGGCAAAGACGUUCCCGUUCUGUGGGUCGCCUCUUCCCUCUGUUGGUGGUUUGCUUUGCUGUGCAGAAGCUGCUCGUUUGGACAGAGCCCGUCUGUUGGCUCUUCUGUAGUUUCUUGCACAAUCGGGGCUCUGUUCCGAAAGUCCUUGCCUGUGCCUGUGACUUCAAGGGUUUCCCCUGUCUCAUCUUCCAGCCGGCUCGGCUGGACGCGUGUGCUUUGAGAGCCCCCCCUUCCGUGUUAUUCAGGCCGGUGAGGACAGAAUUAGACUCGGAUGUGGCCAGCAGCAGUGUCCCUGCGUCCCCACGUCCCCGGGGCACCAGUCACUGACCAGGGCGGGCCUCCCUCCCCGCCCCCAGCCCAGCCGGGACUUUCCACGCUGCCUGUACGUCAGAACAUAACUCCUAGCCGUGACGCAGGGAGCCCGUCAUGGAGAUCAUGGACGCCGUAUGGAUUUUAAUUUCUCAAAAUCUGAAUUAGACUCUGCUUGUCCGGAAGAGCAGCUCCUCCCGGAAGCAGCAAUCCGCCCAUCCCGGGUCGGGUUUCGAGUUAGCCAACAGUGCCCUCUGGUGGCUCCGUGCAGCAUUGCAGCCAUCUGUGGAGUCUGAAAAGCCGAAUUGUGCAAAGCUCUUCUGGACAAAGUUUAGGCGGCGAUUGUGACGCGGGUCCUCUACACUAGGAGUCUGAGCAGGUGGCGCCUGUGUGCAGAUGCCUGGUUCGGUAGCGGGCUUGCGGCAAAG